UCCCUGGUGGUCCAGUGGUUAGGACUCCGAGCUUUCAGUGUCGCGGCCCAGGUUCAAUCCCUGGCUAGGGAA
rnacentral:tRNA from 1 species